AACUGUCUCCAUUUCCUCCUCUUUCGUAAUUUUGAGUUCCCAAUUAAAAAAAGAUAGUCUUGUCAUAGUCAGAAGAGCGAGGGGAAGCUUAAAUAUUAGUAUAUUAUUAAUCCAUGACAAAAAUCCUCCUUUUUCUUGAUUUCAUGUCCUUUGGUCUCUCGUGUUCUUGAGAAGCACCACAAAGUUAAAUAAACACUUUUUCCUAUCUUCAGAUCUCUCUCUCUCUCUCUUGUUCUUGUCUUUUAUCUCC
rnacentral:lncRNA from 1 species